GGCAGGGUAGCAAAGUGGUCUAAUGCAGCGGCCUUAAGUAAUGGAUGUUUUUCAUUCGUAAGCAAUCCGCCAUUCGCGGGUUCGAACCCCGCCCUUGCCA
rnacentral:tRNA from 1 species